CCUACGGGGCGCAGCAGUAGGGAAUAUUGCUCAAUGGGGGAAACCCUGAAGCAGCAACGCCGCGUGGAGGAUGAAGGUUUUCGGAUUGUAAACUCCUUUUGUUAGAGAAGAUAAUGACGGUAUCUAACGAAUAAGCACCGGCUAACUCCGUGCCAGCAGCCGCGGUAAUACGGAGGGUGCAAGCGUUACUCGGAAUAACUGGGCGUAAAGGGCGCGUAGGCGGGUUAGCAAGUCAGAUGUGAAAUCCUAUGGCUUAACCCUAGAACUGCAUUUGAAACUGUUAUUCUAGAGUAUGGGAGAGGUAUGUGGAAUGCUUGGUGUAGGGGUAAAAUCCGUAGAGAUCAAGAGGAAUACUCAUUGCGAAGGCGACCUGCUAGAACAUAACUGACGCUGAUGCGCGAAAGCGUGGGGAGCAAACAGGAUUAGAUACCCGAGUAGUC
rnacentral:rRNA from 1 species